rnacentral:rRNA from 1 species
UGGGGCAUAUUGCGCAAUGGGGGAAACCCUGACGCAGCGACGCCGCGUGCGGGAUGAAGGCCUUCGGGUUGUACACCGCUUUCAGCAGGGACGAGGCCGCAAGGUGACGGUACCUGCAGAAGAAGCCCCGGCUAACUACGUGCCAGCAGCCGCGGUAAUACGUAGGGGGCAAGCGUUAUCCGGAUUCAUUGGGCGUAAAGCGCGCGUAGGCGGUUUGUUAGGUCAGGAGUUAAAUCUGGGGGCUCAACCCCUAUCCGCUCCUGAUACCGGCAGGCUUGGAGCUGGUAGGGGAAGGGGGAAUUCCAAGUGGAGCGGGGGAAUGCGCAGAUAUGUGGAAGAAAACCGGUGGCGAAGGCGGCCGUCCGGGCCAAGACUGACGCUGAGGCGCGAAAGCGAGGGGAGCGAACAGG